UCCCUGGUGGCUCAGUGGUAAAGAAACUGCCUGCAAUGCAGGAGACCCAGGUUCGAUCCCUGGUUCGGGAG
rnacentral:tRNA from 1 species